rnacentral:rRNA from 1 species
CUGCCAGACUCCUACGGGAGGCAGCAGUGAGGAAUAUUGGUCAAUGGCCGGAAGGCUGAACCAGCCAAGUCGCGUGAGGGACGACUGCCCUAUGGGUUGUAAACCUCUUUUAUAAGGGAAGAAUAAAUGCUACGUGUAGCAUGAUGCCUGUACCUUAUGAAUAAGCAUCGGCUAACUACGUGCCAGCAGCCGCGGUAAUACGUAGGUGGCGAGCGUUAUCCGGAAUGAUUGGGCGUAAAGGGUGCGUAGGCGGCCUGCUAAGUCUGGAGUGAAAGGUACCGGCUCAACCGGUAUAGGCUCUGGAAACUGGCGGGCUAGAGAGCAGGAGAGGGCGGUGGAACUCCAUGUGUAGCGGUAAAACGCGUAGAUAUAUGGAAGAACACCAGUGGCGAAGGCGGCCGCCUGGCCUGUUACUGACGCUGAGGCACGAAAGCGUGGGGAGCAAAUAGGAUUAGAUACCCCUGUAAC